UACUAUGUUACGACUUAUUUUAAUUUUAAUUAAAAACGACGGGCAAUAUGUACAUAUAUUAAUUUAAUUCAAAUAAAAAAUUUAUUAAAUUUUUACUAUUUAAAUCCAAUUUUAAAUAAAGUUUUACAAUUUAUUAUUCAUUAAUAGAUUUAAUUGUAUUCAUUAAUUUAUUAUGACAUGUAUGUGAUUUGAAUUUAAUUUUAUAAAAAUACUAAUAAUUUUUAAAAUAUCAGUUUAAAUACACAUAUACAUAUAUAACAAAAAAAUUAAAUAAAUUUUAAAGUGUAAUAUCUAUUAUAUAACAAAAUCCUCUAAUUUUUAAAUAUACUGCCAUUUUAAAUUAAUUUUUUAUUAAAAAAUAUUUAUUAAAUAAAAAAUUUUAAAAAUAAAUAAAAGGGUAUCUAAUCCUAGUUU
rnacentral:rRNA from 1 species